rnacentral:lncRNA from 10 species
CUGCAGUGUCCUAGGCAGCCACCUGGGGCCCGGUCACAUGGAAGUCAGAUGUGGGCCUGGGCCGCCGUGCAGCGAUGGCUGUGCCAGCCGUCUGCCUUGCCUCUCACCUCCACCCCACCACAUCGGCCACUCUGCCCUGGGGCUGGGACUGACCCUUCACCCUUGCUCCCAGGCUUCCGACCACUGCCCUCUGGUUGGGUCCGGUCAAGGGAGCCCCUGGCCGCAGCCCAGAGGGAUUGGGGGCCUGGACCCCUCCACAUCUGUCUUGGGUGGCAUUUCUUCACCUCGGCUCCCGCUGGCAGGUGCCUCCUUCUUGAUCCUCCUUUUCUAGGAAGCCUGGCCUGACUCUGCGUCCCCAACUCCAGCUUCACCCCGGCAGCCUUAGGACAUGGCAGCGGCCUCCUGCCGUGGGCCACGGAUUCCCGCACCGCCUCGGUCACCCGGUCUUCAGGCGCGGCCCCUGUCGAGUCACCCGACAGACUCGUAGCGGUCGCUGUUUCCUGACUCCCUGCUGUGCGGCUAAAUGAGUUAGACGAAUCUGUUCUCUCCUGAACUUGGCGGAGCUCCUCGGCACCCCACACUGUUCUGGGGACUUGGGCUGCCUCGGAGGAAAAAGAAAACAGAUGUCACCAUGCCCUGUGGAGCCUGCGUCCUAGUGCGGAUGUGGCAGUCGGUCCACGGGAUGCACGCGGGACCCCAGGUGAAGGUGACCACCGUGGAGGAAGGUGGGACAAGGCGGGAAGGGCUGGGCGAAGGGAGCACGGUCACCUGGGGAGCGGCUCCAGACAGGGGACAGCAGGAGGCCCUCGCCACAGCACCUGGUGUGGGAGGCACAGCCAGGGUCAUCGUGGCCACGGGCUGGAGGCCAGAGGGGUCUGUUCUGCGCAAUGGCUGCUGAGCUGCAGCGAUGGGGUGGACGCCGAGGGGACCCGGGCAGCCGAGAGGCAGCAUGAGGAGGGAUUGGGUUCUGUGCAUUUCCAUGGUGCAGCCAUGGGAACCUCUAUGGGAUGAAGGGGCCGGGAGAAGCUGCGGGGCCCAUGGCGGGGCCUGGAAGGCUGGGCACCCCUCACUAGGUACGGGGACUUCUGGGCAGCAAGUGAUCGGGGAUCGUUAGGAUUCAGCCAUGUUGAGUGUGAGAAGCCUCUGGGACAGCCGGGUGGAGAUGUUGGGGCCUCCGGACUCACGGCCUGGGAGUCGGCGGCAGGAGGGUGGCCAGUGGUCAUCAGCACAGGCGGCUCGAGAGGCCAGGGCCGGACAGAGCAGGUGUCAAGCCUCGGAGCAGAGGACCCAGAGGGCAGGCACAGCCACAGGCCUGGGAGCCGGGGAGCACAGAGCCCUGGACACACACCGGAGCACGUUGCAGAAAGGAAGGGCUGGUCAUGUGUGUGUAGCGUGUCUGUGAGUGUCUGCGUGUGUCUCUGUGACCAUGUGUCUCUGUAAGGGAUUCUGUGUAUUUCUGUGUCAGUAUCUCUGUGUGUCCACGUGUGUCCACAUGUGUCUGCAUGUGGGAUGCCGAGUACCUGUGUGUGUCUACGUGUGUCUGUCUAGGUGCAUGUGGUCUGGGGCUGCACAGAGGCUGGGUGGGGAUGCUGACAACCAUCCCAGACUGAGCCCUGUAGCCCCGAGAGGAGGGCGUCGGUAGCCUGUGGAGCAUGGCUGGGAGGGACCCCUGGAGCUGAAGCAGACAGGUCAGGGUCACCGUGACUGUCUCCCGCCCUGGUUCUGGGACCCUGGGCCUCAGGGUCUGGGCCACCUCUCCCUGGCCGGGUGGAGCAGCUCCAUGGCAACCCAGGUCCCCACCAUCCAGGACAGGGUCUGCCUCAGCCUCGGGUGGCCGAGCCAGGCAGGGUGAGGCCGAGAGGGCAGAGGAUGGGAAGCCCAGGUACCCACUUCCGCCGCCGGCCCCACCGGCCUCCCUCACCCCUCCCAACAACCCACGGCCUGGGAGUGUCGAUUCUGCGCCACUAACUCAUUGAUCGCCUUGCCCGGGUUAAUUAAUUAAUUAGGGGCAGCCAUGGAGCACAGUGGGCUGGGGCCAAGGAGGGACCCCAGCGCCG